rnacentral:rRNA from 1 species
CCCUUAGAUGUCCUGGGCCGCACGCGCGUUACACUGAUGCAUUCAACGAGCUUAUAACCUUGGCCGAGAGGCCUGGGCAAUCUUGUUAACGUGCAUCGUGAUAGGGAUAGAUUAUUGAAAUUAUUAAUCUUGAACGAGGAAUUCCUAGUAAACGCAGAUCAUCAAUCUGCAUUGUUUACGUCCCUGCCCUUUGUACACACCGCCCGUCGCACCUACCGAUUGGAUGGUCCGGUGAAGCCUCGGGAUUGUGGUUCUUGCCGCUUUAUUGUGGCGUGACCGCGAGAACUUGUCUAAACCUUAUCAUCUAGAGGAAGGUGAAGUCGUAACA